CCUACGGGAGACUGCAGUGAGGAAUAUUGGUCAAUGGGCGAGAGCCUGAACCAGCCAAGUCGCGUGAGGGAGUACUGCCCUAUGGGUUGUAAACCUCUUUUGUCGGGGAGCAAAAGCCGGACGUGUCCGGCUGUGAGAGUACCCGAAGAAAAAGCAUCGGCUAACUCCGUGCCAGCAGCCGCGGUAAUACGGAGGAUGCGAGCGUUAUCCGGGUUUAUUGGGUUUAAAGGGUGCGCAGGCGGAUUUUUAAGUCAGCGGUAAAAUCGUGGGGCUCAACCCCAUCCAGCCGUUGAAACUGGGGAUCUAGAGUGUGCGAGAGGUAUGCGGAAUGCGUGGUGUAGCGGUGAAAUGCAUAGAUAUCACGCAGAACCCCGAUUGCGAAGGCAGCAUACCGGUGCACAACUGACGCUCAGGCACGAAAGCGUGGGUAUCGAACAGGAUUAGAUACCCGAGUAGUC
rnacentral:rRNA from 1 species